AGUAUCGAUACUUCUUUUUUCCGAAGUUCCCAUAAAUAAGUAGCAUUACGUGUUUACGGACUUCUACUCAGUUUUAUAUUUGUGUGUCUUAAAACCUUAGAAUUCAUCAGAGAAAGCAAGAAAAUUAAAGUUAAAGCAUUCAUAUCCAUUUAUUAACAUUAAAUGGUAGUUGGUUGCUUGAACACAGCUAGAAGACAUUCACUUUUUUCAUAAGCAGAUCAUCAUGCCUAAUGUAAAUCAAAUUGUUGAUGACAUUUUAAAACAAGGGGGCAACUAUUCUAAAUAUGGUAAAAAUUACGUAGAUAAUGUAAUACUAUUUUAUUCAUGAAAGAAUAAAGCAAUAUUAUUUUAUAUUAUGCUUAUAUUUGAUCACUCGUUACCUCCUCCCUAUUCUCAUCAAUAGUUCUGUCGAUCUCUUACCUCUCUCUCUCUCUCUUUCUGUCUCUCCACCCCUCUCUCUCUCUCUUUCUGUCUCUUUCUGUCUCUCCACCCUCUCUCUUUCUGUCUCUCCACCCCUCUCUCUCUCUCUCUCUCUCCACCCCUCUCUCUCUCUCUCUUUCUGUCUCUUUCUGUCUCUCCACCCACAAAGCGGCAACAUUCCGAAAGAAGUAUUACGAAAACAUUCCAUCCAGCCAAGUUGAUCCGCAGACAACCAUCAACUCAGAGAAGGACUUCUUCACUAAAUGGCUCGCAUUCGAGAAUGUAGAGAACACUACAGCCCGGUUCACUAAAGUCCGGUCGACUACAGCACAGUUCAGUGUGGUUCAGCGGUGUGGUCUGUACGGAGCAAUACAAAGGUAAAGUACGGAGUACUGUCUUGUACAGUCAAGACGAACGCGUCUUGAUCUUGGUCUGCGAUCGAGUCCGACACAACGAGCCCAGUGUGUAAAGUCAGUCCUGAACUGUUGAACCCAGUGCAAGCCCGGAACGAGACGAAGAGGCCAGUGCAAGAGUUGAUACGGCGGUACGGUCGAUACGGAGAGAAAUUUGUACAGCCUAUGUUACGUGUUGCCAAUUGUACAGUAUUGGCUGUAAUUUAUUGAACAUAAAAUUGUUACGUUACUUUGGAGCCCUGUGUCAUCCGAUUCUUUAAGUUGAUGGUGUGUGUUGCAGUUUGCAGAGAGCCUGAAUAGUGAGAUUAUCUGUAGAGAAUCUUGGACAUCAUGCGUUUUCUCUUAAAGCAAAAUAUGGAAAUCCGCGGGCAUCACGAACGAGUUGAAGAAGAAUUGGCAGUACAAAAUCAAAGAAAAAUCCUGGAGUAAAAUUAAUAUCUAAUUACGAUCCAUUCCCUCAGAGACCGAAUACGUACAUGUCCAACAAAAUAAAAACGAAUUUAUUGUAAUAUAAAAACUCAUGAAAAAAAAUAUUACAGAAAGUUUAAACAGGAAAGAUUUCUCGAUGAUUUUUCACAGUACACUUAACAUCUAAAAUCGGAUCAAAAUUUUAUGGUACAUUUCAUGCAGAGCCUCAACAGCGUAUUGGCCACAACAAAAAAAUUGCCAGGUGAAAAAAAAAUAAAGAUAUAUUUUUUAUCAAGAGCUACUGAUGGAAACAUUUUCCUUGGACGGUAUUGUUCAAGAAAUAAUAACCCCAUAAUAACGUCAUGAUAAAUAUGAAUUUUAGUCGCCUUUAUUGAAUCCUAAGAUGGACAUUAAUCUCGAUGGUUCUUCCAGAGACAUAGACAAAAACGAAUUUUGUCUGGGGGCUUCAGGUAAUUGUCGCACUUUCCCCAGAAGUUUCCGAACUUCCAAAGCAAGAAUCUAUUGAGUUUUAUAAUAAAAAAACAAAAAAUUCAGUCCCCGAAUAUUGCCAUUUUGAUCCACAUAUUUUUUUUUAUUAUUGUGGUAAGUGUAGCAAGCAAGCGAAGUUUUUCCAAACUUACUUUGAUGAAGAAAUACUUACAAUCAACGAUGUCGAGUUUACGACUCACUUCUUUGGCAAUUUCGUCUAUUGAACAAGACUUAGUGGGAAAACUGAUAUGAUAAAAUCAUCGAUAGUUUGCCGGCGAUUCAUCGUUUUGUAAAUCGAUUCUUGCGAAAAAGCAAUGCUUAAAUAAUGAAUACACUUAAUAUCGAAAUUAGAACCUUUUCGCUGUUUUAAAACUUUUUUUUUGGAGGGCAACAUGAGGAACUGCCACACAGAGCAUCAAAUACCCUAGCUACGCCACUGGAAAAGUAACAUGUGUAAAGUAACCCUAAAACAAACUUAAGACCAUCAAAAAAAAGAUGCCCAACUCUAUGAAAGUAUUACUAUUUCAUGGAUCUAGGUCAUAUAGUCAUGUUUACAUGACACAAGACCGAAAUAUCAAGCAAGCGCGGAACAGAAAAUCUCUCAAAAUCUAAAUCUAGAUUAGAUCUAAUUCUAAGAUAAUAGAUCUGAUCUUCGCCAAGAGUUCCUUAAUUUAAGACAUGAACAUAAAAAUCUAGUCCAUUCAUUUCAUUAAUUAAAUUAACCUACACAUUUUUGUUUCAAAAGCAUUUUUUUUACAUUAAUUCGUUCUCUAAUGCUGCGACUAAGUCGUCUUGUUGUACAUUUAAUAGCCAUUUAUGAUAUCGAGCGCUUCUUACAUUACUCUACAGAAAGUAAACGCAUGCGCAGGACAUAACAUUUUUACAUUCACGCAUUCGCUUUAUUUAUAACAUUAUUAUUUUAUUUUAUUGUUUUUAAUACACUAUAUCAGUGGCAAUAUUAGUGAUACGCAAAUUAAGACAAGCGAGCCGCGGGUAAUAUCUAGCUAGUUUUAAAUAAUUGAGAAAUCGUGCCUUAGUUCUGUCUUUAAUCUAAAGCUUUUAAACAAUCUAGUAUUCAAAAGUGAUUAAUUUUUGUUUUAUAUAUUGUUCUAACUCUGAUGGUGGUGCAGUUAGGGGUAUUAGUUUGUGUGUAGUUAGCCAACUUCAAUAGCCCCAGGCCAUCGGUUGUUAACAGUGAAACAUUUGUACAGUCGGUAUUUCGUGUUGCCAAUUGUACAGUUAAUUUAUUGGACAUUAAACUGUUGCGUUACUUUGGAGCCUUAAGUUUUCAAGUCGAGUCGGUAGUGUCGUGUGGUGCAGCAUGCAGAGCCUGGAUAGUGAAUGCCGUUACAGCACAAUGAUUAUUUAAGCCAAAGUUAUCUAAUCACGAUACAUGAAAUGGCAAUUAAUUCUUUUUGUAAAUGUGUUGUCAUUUUUAAAAUAAUUAUAUAUAUAUAUAUAUAUAUAUGUGUGUGUGUGUGUGUGUGUGUGUGUGUGUGUAAUAAUGAUAAUUAUCUACAUGCAAAGAAAUAUUUUAAAGUUUAAACUUUAAUUUAAUACAUAAAAUGGGAGUUAUGAUAUUUUAUUGUGUAGAGUCUAGAUAUAUGAAAGCUAUAUAGCUAAAAUUUUAUUAAAAUGUAUUACAUGAUCUAGAUCAAUAAGCCUAAAUUGAAUUAAGUGAUCAUGUAUGAUAGUAAAAUAUUCUAUGAACGAAAUGAUAAAAUCUCAUCAUCAACAACAAAAAAGAGACUCACUUUUCACAAAAAAAAAAACGAUUGAGCAAAUACAAAUGUUUUCGAUCUACGUGUUUUGUUUAUGAUAAAUAAGGGAACGACUUAACGUGUAUCCAACCGGUAUGUUGCUGCCUGACACGUAAUAAUAUUUAUCUGGUAUCGAUAUCAAAGAAUAUGUAUUUACGAUACUUGCUAUGAAUACUCGAUACUUGUGUGUUCGAAUUUUUCCCUUCAAUGAUUUUCCAGGCCCUUGCUAAACCAUUAUUGGCAUUUCUCCGAAUCUAAAUUUACUAAUCUUAGUGUUUCUAAACACAUAAUAGAUAAUAUUACGGUUAAUUCCAAAUUAAUUACUAGUUAAGUAAUUAUUUUUCGCAAGUAUUCUUUUUUCUUAUAAUAAUAAUAAUAAUCUUCGCUGCCUGUCAGAGGACGGUACUGCUGCAGACCUGCCACAUCACCAGAAAAUUACUCAGUGGAAACUGUUAAAGGGACUAUGGUGAAUUUUGUUUCUCUUUAGCGAAACUCGACCCUGGCAGCGCCAGAGAAUGACUACUCGUUCAUUUCUAACAUAAUAAUAAUAAUCUUUAUUGUCCGUAUGGAAAUUUGUCUUACAUUAGAAUAUUUAUAUAAAGCAUUUCAUUUUUAAAUGUUCAAGGGCCAUGAAAAUUUAGUAACAUAGCUAAGAAGGGGGGAAAGGGGUUAAUUUAAAACCCCUUUAGUAAGGGGUAGUUUAACAUUAAAUCUCCUCUCCAAUAAAAAAAUUAAAGCAAAACAACAGCUAAAAAAUAUCCCCUCCCACACCACUGGGUUACUCCCAUGCUUCCUAGAAACAAUGGUAAACAUAACUUGUUGAACUCACAAAAGCCACGAAUUUUCAGGUUUCUUUUUUUACACUUAAAUUUUGCGUGUGGUUAAUAAAAAAAAUUAAAGGAAAAUAAUAUUAGUUCUUUUUGGUUAAUAGAUAUAAACGUUGCAUUUUAUUUCAUUGAUGAUUAAAAUUAUGUGUAAUAUAUUCAGGUCUAUUUUAUUUGAGAAUCACCUCCACUGUGGAAUGGAAGUUUCUCGCCACUUCAUAGUCGUACAUUUUACAUUGAUAUCAGUUGCUCUAAUUCCCGGUAUUAAACAAAAAUGUAGACUGAUUAAACUAUCAUUUAUGCUUACAAGUUAUAUUUCUGCUAAUUUGUUUUUUAUUGAGGUUUAAACAAUUAAAACUAAAUUACAUUACAUUUUUCAGCUUGCAAAGCUACUUUUUGUUUCCUGAAAGUAAAAAAAUUUCCAGAAAAUUUUGUUAAAUAUAUAUAUUUUUUUUCGUUUUAUAAUGGACGAGCUGCUAAUUAUUUACAAAUAACUUCCUUUUAAAAGUGAGAGUACAUUUGUAGGCUUAUAAUAGUAAACAGUUUAAACACCAAGAGUUAAUAGCUCUAUUAAAUGUUAUUUUUAUUGUUAUUAUAUUAUUUAUUAUUUUCUUAUUAUUUUCUUAUAUACUGGUGGUCUAUCACAAGUGUCUGUCAGAACACUUGACAAAAUAGGACAUUUUUAUUGAUCAAUUUAAUAUUAUGUUAUAUUGAUUAAUGAAUGAUGAUUUGUUUGGAAUCAAUGUGAAGAAGUGUGUAUGUAAAAAAAUAAUAUUUCAUUACUUCUUUCAAGAAUUAUAUAAUAACUUAUUUUAUAAAAUACAGACUUCACUUUAAAAAAAAGAUGAUGAUGACCUCCUACGCGUCAUGCAUGUUAACCAAUGACUUAAAUUCUGCCAAGUCAUUGGUUUUCCUGGCUAGCUUAGGCAACCCAUACCAUGAUCUAAAAGCACUAGGGAAGAAGGAGCAUUUGUACUAAUUUGUCCUAGCAUAUGGAACGAGGAAUGUACCUUUAUCUUUGUGCCUUUCCUAGUAUUUUUUUAUAGAUUUUUUUCUUUGUUUUUGUAUUUGAAGAUUAUGGUUCAGUGUUUUAUUUAUAAUUGCUACUUUAAUUUUAAGUCUUCUAUCCUUAAAGCUUUCUAAAUUUAGUGAUUUUACUAAAGUGUUAUUACUAUACAAUUUUUUUAUUUGACAUUAGUGUAAUACUUUCAUAUAACAAAAACCAUGCUAACUUCUAAAGCUCUAUUACGCUGAAUGACGACAAUAACUCCACACUUAGUAAAGAAUAAGACACGGAAUGUGGUAAGUACAAACUCUAACGUGAAUCCACCAAUGUAAACAAACACUUUGGGUGACAAUAGAUAGAAACAAAUUCACGACACUAAGAUACUUUGAAAAGAUAUAUUGAGUAGGGGUGAUUUGGGUGACACAUCUCGCAUUGACGCAGGUAUAGUUAAACAAAUGAAGACAAGACCAGCACCGAGCACUGGUCGUUAGUGUCAUGCGUCUAGCGAUCAUAACCUUGGGACUGGUCAUUACCUGUGACAUCUAUCACGCCCCCGCUCUUCUGGGCACAUUUCAGUCCUUGUAUAUACUCUUUCCUCCACCCUUCCCUCUCUCACGCGUAAGACGAUAAUCUGUCUCUAGCACUCCUCUUGACAUCCCUAGGUGCGAAUUUAUUAUCCUUAAUCUUAAAUUCCGAGAGCGGCCCAAUGUCUACCCCUCUCUUUCAAUCUCUUCGCCCCUACGUCUUUAUAUGCUCGCCUAGUUUGGACCAUUCACUAAUCAUUUUCCAGCACGCUGACAGACUAGAAAAACUUUCGCCAUUUCAUUCUAUUAUAUUUUUAUAUUUUUAUAUUUUUAACUGAAAACCUGUGGCAUUCUAUAUAAACAAGUCUACAUGUAUAGUUUAUCCACGAUACAAAUUCUUAAGAUUGAUUACUAUCUACCAACAGUAUCUAUAGGUCAGUGUUCAAAGAUAGAAUCAUGCCACUUCCAGAAUUAUACGCUGGAAGACCCAGUGCGACAAAAAAGAACUCGAGUCGUCCUCUUUGUAUCAGUACAUUUACAACGAGACACUCAAUAGCACGCACUACCUUUGACAAGUAAAAUUACAUAACACUCAAGGAUAUCUACGUAAUAAACAACUGUCUUUCAAUGAAAAUCGUGGGCCUCUACUAGUCAUGAUCCCCGGUGUAGAGAACCUCUUCGCACCAUACCUGAUCGCCACUGUCUACCAAUGCUGAGUUCUUGUAAGUUAUAUUGUUAGAGGAUAUAAAAAAAAUAACUAAAUUAAGUUCAACUAGUCUCUUAUUUAACUAGUUCUCUCUGAAGUGAACCUUACCAUCUACAUCGUGGCAUGACAUCUGUUGUUCCCUUAUAAGCCAUUCUGUACACAGCUUUUGUCAGGCACAUGUGGCCUCGAAGACGAUAAAGUAAAACACAGUUUCAAAAAUAAGUGUACGAUCAUAUAUAAACAUCAAAAAUGGAAUGAUGAGAGAAAAGACUCAAGGGUAAGAUUAGAGACUGACACUGCUAAAGUAUACAUUAGUUUUAUUGUGAAUCUUCUUUUUGAGCUUUGAAACGUGUAUAGGUUUACAAUAAGAAUAACUCGCAACUAGUUAGAAACUCUUUUGAUAAUCAUAUUGUUGUUUUUUUUUUUGAUAAUAUCUUUAGACUCCCAAUACACAUGUCAAUAGCAGUUUUACAGUAACCAAAGGUCAAGUAAAAGGUUGCAACAAAGAAGUAAAGAUUACUCUCCCAGAAAGACUUCAGGUGAAAGAACUAAAAUUCAACCCUGGUCAGGAGAAGACCGAGAAUAAAUCUGAUGCGAGAACUGCAUCGGGCCAAUCGUUUACAGGCCAAGUGUUUUUACAAGUCCAAUUAAGAGGCAUUGUUUUAUUUCAAGAUAAAAGCACAAUACAUGAAAUUGAAAUGAUACAAAUAGUUGCUGAUUGGCUGAAACUGGACAAGAAACUCUCAUGUCCACUAUCUGUAUGUAAGAGUAAUCAAGGCCUUCCCGAAAAUGUAGAAUGGACAAUAGAGGGGCAUGUGAAGGUUUAUUAAAUGACUUUCACUGUUUUCUUUUUUUGUUUUGUUUUGUUCAAUCCCAAAAGAGAAUGUCCAAAUAAAUAUACAUGACUCUCAAUCGUUGUAAAAAAGCCAUCAUGUUUCUAUGUGAUAUUAUUUAUAAAAAGAGAGCUUUUAAAUAUGUUGUUUUAAAGUCUUAAUAUAUAUGUAUAUAAUUAUAUUUUUUUUUCUGUUGGCAUUUCUUUUUUUUUAAAUAGUAAUUAUACUUUAAUAUUAUUGUUGUUGUAAUCUGUUUUCAACACUAUUUUUUAAGUAUCAAAUAAUGUUAUGUAUAUUUUUUUAUAUUAUACAUUGACAAUGCAUCAACUAUUAAUAUUACACACAUUAAUUUUCAUUAAUGUAUUUGCACACAUGUAUUUAAACCCUCAUUCUGUGGGGUUUGAAGCUAAAAACACCUCUUCAAUAUGAAAAAAAAAGCAAAUUACACGCUCUAAAAUCUAUGAGCAUAGCCAAAUGGGUUUUUAGUUACAACCCACCGCCAGAGGGUUUGAAACUAAAAAAUACAUCUUCAAUUAAAAAAAAAAAGCAAAUUACGCACUCAAAAUGCUAUGAGCGUUGCCAAAAUGGGUUUUGAGUUUAAAUCCCGCUUCAGAGGGGUUUGAUGCUAAAAAAUACCUCUU